rnacentral:rRNA from 1 species
GUCCACGCCGUAAACGAUGGAUGCUAGAUGUUGGGGGGCUUGCCCUUCGGUGUCGUAGCUAACGCGAUAAGCAUCCCGCCUGGGGAGUACGGCCGCAAGGUUAAAACUCAAAGGAAUUGACGGGGGCCCGCACAAGCGGUGGAGCAUGUGGUUUAAUUCGACGCAACGCGCAGAACCUUACCAGCCCUUGACAUGGGUAGUAUGGGCUCGAGAGAUCGGGUUCUUCAGUUCGGCUGGCUACCACACAGGUGCUGCAUGGCUGUCGU